ensembl:lncRNA
UACCUAGUUAAGCUUGUUGAGUGUGGAGGGUCAAGGGAUGUUGCUACAGGCUGAAUAUUUUUGUUCCCUCAGAAUUCAUCUGUUGAAACCUAAUCCCCAAUGUGAUGGUAUUCACAGCUGGAGCUUGUAGGAGGUGGUUAGGUUAUGAGGGUGGAGCCCUCAGGAUUGGGAUUAGCGACCUUCAAAGGAGACAGUAGCAUGCUCCUUCCACCAUGUGAAGAAACAGUGGGAAGAUAGCCAGCCAUCUUUGAACCAGGAAGAAGGAUCUCAUCAGAUACCCAGGCUGCCAUCGCCGUUAUCUUGGACUGCCCAGCCUCUGGAACUGUGAGAACUCAAUGUUUGCUGUUUAAGUUACCCAGGGUUCUUUCAAUUGGUAACUGCAAGUUCAAACUGAACAUUUUACAGCAUAUGCCAAGACCCUUGCAAUACAAAUGAGCUUUGAAGGCUGAAUCCAGACAGAUGUUUAGACCCUCUAAGGCAAUGCUUCUCCAAGGGAGGCACCAAGAGCAUCUGCAUCAGAAUCCUCUGAGGCACAUGCCUUGACUAUAAUGCCAUGCUCAGGAUGUAAAAGAGGCAUACUCCAAAGGGCAGCAUUUUAAGUAAAAGCAUCAAAUCAUAACCAAACGACUUCCAGAGAAAUCAGCCAAGAGACUGCAGCAAGAGUCAGAGAAAGCCUUCAAACCCCUAAGUGUUUUCAAAAAACUUCCCAAACAGCACUUUUGUGGGAGGGGCAUGCUCUAAGUGACAUUGUUUCACACCCAAUUUGUUGUGCAUAGUUUAUCCUGCCUUGCAUGCCAAUUGGAUUGCAGAAAUGCUUUGUAUGCAGCCUGGGAAAGGUAUAAAGGACGUAAGUAAUGCAGGCUUGACUGUACUAUAUGGUAAUCGGAGCUUUGCACCUCACACAGGCCUCAUCACGGAUGUCACGUUUUCUAAAAUCUUGCCCUUUAGAAUAGACCUCCUAUUCUUUUUAGAGUUGGCAUGGACAUGUACUUUAUCAUUCUCAGAUAUGAAAUAUGUGGUUUCAAAGAGCAGUAGAUUCAGAAAAAGGAGAAUUUUUAAAAAAUUCAAUUGCAAAUGGAGGACAAAUUGGUGACCUAGAAGGCUUGUGAUCAUGGUACAGGUCCUAACUAUUGAAUAUUUUUCAGUUCCCACUUGUAAUGAUGUCACCAGGAAAUUAGCAUGUUGUAUAAGUUUGUGGCAUAUUCGCAUUUAAGUUAAAUGGUAACAGGUAAUCUAUCCAGGUUUUGCCUUAACUAAAAUCACUAGGUAAGUUCUAGUACUUUUAUUGAGUCGUGUUUCAUUGCUCAUUGUAUAAAAGCACAUAAAAUUUUUGAGAGAUAGGUGUUUGCUUAUUUCGCUCAAUGCUCUUUACUGCCAUUUUCCCAGUAUCUGGUAGAAUGUUGAAUAGUGGAGAGAGUAGAAAUAUUUUCCUUGUUUUCUGUCUUUGGGUAACAGCUUUCAAUGCUUCACACUUACGUAUAAAACUACCCUUAGCUUUCUCACAGAUAGCCUUCAUCCACUCAAGGACUUUUUCUUCUAUUAUUAGUUUAAUGAGAAUUGUUUUCAUGCAUAGAUGUUGAAUUAUUUCAAAUACUUUUACUGUUUCUGUUGAAAGGAUCAUAUGGCUUUUCUGCCUUAUUCUACUCAUAUGAAAGUGAUGUUGACUGGUUUUCAAUUGAUGGACGAACCUUGUAUGGCUGGAAUAAGCCCCACCUGGUCAUGAUGUAUUAUUCUCUGCACAAAUUGCUGGAUUCAUUUGCUAUGUUGUUAAAGAUUUUGUGUAUAUGUUCAUGAGGGAUAUUGAGCUUAAAAAGAACCUGGAAUGGUGAAUCUGCUUUGAUGUUUCUAUCCAUGAAGAAUAUUUGAUGGAGUAUAAUAUUUCUGCCUUGAGCUGAGGAAAGGACCUAGGAGUUCAGGUAGUCUUCAUCUCCAUCUCAAGAGUUGGGAGUCAGCCCAUGCCAGAUUUUGCAGCAUCUCCCAGAUCUGUGUGGAAUUUGUUCAGAUUAAAGCUCCCGGCUGUCCUUCUUGGUCCUGCCUUGUGAGUUUCUCCUUGUGAAUGCACAGAACAAUGUGCUUCUCUUUGAUUGCGACCCUCUCCAUCCUUUCUAGAGGAAAACAUUGGCUAUUGUGAUUAGCCCUGAGCUAACUACUGCCAGUCCUCCUAUUUUUUGCUGAGGAAGCCUGGCCCUGAGCUAGCAUCCGUGCCUACCUUCCUCUACUUUAUACGUGGGACACCUACCACAGCAUGGCAUGCCAAGCGGUGCCAUGUCCUCACUUGGGAUCCGAACCUACGAACCCCAGGCCACCGAGAAGCGGAACAUGUUUAUUUGGAUUCCCAUUUUUAUUCGGGUUUCUAGUGGUUACUGUAGAAAUCCCAGCAUGCUCCUCUAAGUCUUCUGCGGCCCUGGGAAGUGGUCUGCAUCCACCUCUGAGGCUCUCCUUUCACGUGAGUGAGAAGACUGCUAUGGUUUCAAACACAGAGCUUGCCUCUGGCUGAUUAUCUCACAUGGAUUAUUUAGUUUCUAUUGCCCCGUGGACCUGAACCUCCAAACACCUCUGCCUGACUCUGAACGCAGAGAGAUCAGACCUUCAUAAAUACAAAGAGUCAUUCUCAAGAAUGUGAACAAUGACUUUAUUUGUGAAAAUGAAUAACACUGAAAUCUUAUUUAUUGAUUCAGAAGAGGACUUAAGAUAUAUCAUUCUGGACCCCUUAUAUUCAGAUCCUCAUUUAGUGAGAACUGCCAAAAUUCAUCUAAUCAGUUUUCACAGCAACAUUUAAGAAAUACAAUAUGCUUAUAACUUUACAAAGAGAGGAAUUUCAGAAAGUACAAUUUUGAAUUCCAUCAUUACUACUGCAAUCAUAUUCUCAAGGUAUGAGGCAAAAUAAUGUGGAACUGCUAGUUACAUGUAAGUAUAUUUGACAUUUUCAGCAGUCCUCCUCCAAAAGAAAAGAAAAAGAGAGAAUGAAGAAUCAGAAAAUGACGGUUUGUACCAGAAUAGAAACACUACUAUCUGAGAAAAAAAAAUGCAUCUGGUUCCACAUAGUUGAAUGAAAUUUCUUCUAUUCAAACAGCGCAGUGCUUCAAACUCCAGACCCCUCUUGUCUCUACCACCUGGCAUAAUGAUUAUUCCCGGAUAAAUCUGAAUCAGCAAAGUGUAAAAUGUGGAGACUUCGUUUUAGAACAAUGCCAUGAAAAAAUCGGAAGCAUCUUAAUAGGAAGCUUAACGUGCCAAGUAUUAUCAUGUUGAUUUCCUGACCUGAUUUUCCAUCUCUGAUAUGAAGAGUCGCUCCUUGGUUCACUGGUGCUGUGCCUGAUUCGGUCUUCCGCUGAGUCUUUGCUACCAAAAGUGAAAGUAGUUAAGAUAGUUUAAUAAGUGCCGUUAUAAUGAACCAGCGGUCUCCAAGCCCUGUGCUUUAAAAAUCCAAUAAGCUGACUUUGCACUAUUUAACUCUGUUAAUUAGAGUAAGCGCCACCUGAAGGAAAUGAGACGUGGAGGACGGAUGUAACUGUAGCUUUGUGUUUUUUCCUUCUCCCAUUUCUACCCCGACCUAUGUGAAGGGGAGAGAGGCCAUAAUUGUAAUAAGGAUCCAGGCCACUUAAUAAAUGUUUAAUUGCAUUCAGAUCUGUUCACUUAGCUUACGAGUUAUUGUCAGCCCGUUAAUGGACCGUUAAUUAAAAAGCAUAUUCAAUGAGGUGAGGAUCAUUUUCAUGUGGAAGGUUUCUACCUGCCUUUGGAGUCCUGAUGGACAGUCUCUGCUAAUUAGCAUCAUUUCACAGAAGACCAAACCUUUGUGCCAUUUAAUAAAAUAUAGCUCAUGACAGCAGCAUAACGUAUGAAGGAACGAUAGCUAGGGUUAAGGACCAAAUUUGGCAGUGUGGCUGCAAAUUAAGAAAGAAUGAAGGUACAUAAGAAAGCUUUAAAGCUAUAAGUAAAAGGGGAAGUGUGCAAGCUCUAAAAAAUUUUUUGUAUUUUUUAAUAUAUUUUAUAGAAAAUGUGUCUGUUAAUACUCGGUCAGUUUUUGCCUUUGAUUCGUAGAACAAUUCCUCUUCCUUCGCAUUCAUUUCCCAGGACACUGUAUUUUACUACAUUUGUGAUUUCAAAAAUUCAACAUAAAAGCUGCUUUCUAGAUAUUUUUUAAGUUUAUGAUAUUAAAGAAUAAUAUAUUUCAAUAAAUUUUAUAAUAUAUUUUGCAUGCCUACUAAGGGAAAGUCACUGUUUUGGGGAAUAAAUUUUAGUUUUAAUUUCUUUCGUGAAUUGUGCAGAUGCUGUUGUAGAAAUAGGACAAGGUCCUCUAUCUUGUGGUGAUUUACACUUGAUAUUUUGGAAAAUAUACUCUUCAUACAGGUGCACUAAAUUAAUAGCACAUUUAACAACUCAAUUUUUUUUUUAAAGAUUUUAUUUUUUCCUUUUUCUCCCCAAAGCC